GCAAGUCGAACGAGAAAGUUUCCUUCGGGAAACGAGUACAGUGGCGAACUGGUGAGUAACGCGUGGGAAAUCUGCCCUUUUAUGGGGGAUAACAGUUCUAACGAGCUGCUAAUACCGCAUAAGCCCUUUGGGUCGCAUGACCUGGAGGGGAAAGAUGGCCUCUACAUGUAAGCUGUCGUAGAAGGAUGAUCCCGCGUCCCAUUAGCUAGUUGGUGGGGUAAAAGCCUACCAAGGCGACGAUGGGUAGCCGGCCUGAGAGGGUGUCC
rnacentral:rRNA from 1 species